rnacentral:rRNA from 1 species
UAAAGAAUUAUCGCUGAUAGAUGGGCAUGCGUUCCAUUAGAUAAUUGGUGAGGUAACGGCUCACCAAGUCCACGAUGGAUAGGGGUUCUGAGAGGAAGGUCCCCCACACUGGUACUGAGACACGGACCAGACUCCUACGGGAGGCAGCAGUGAGGAAUAUUGGUCAAUGGGCGAGAGCCUGAACCAGCCAAGUCGCGUGAAGGAUGAAGGAUCUAUGGUUUGUAAACUUCUUUUAUAUGGGAAUAAAGUGAGGAACGUGUUCCUUUUUGUAUGUACCAUAUGGAUAAGCAUCGGCUAACUCCGUGCCAGCAGCCGCGGUAAUACGGAGGAUGCGAGCGUUAUCCGGAUUUAUUGGGUUUAAAGGGUGCGUAGGUGGUUAAUUAAGUCAGCGGUGAAAGUUUGUGGCUCAACCAUAAAAUUGCCGUUGAAACUGGCUGACUUGAGUAUAUUUGAGGUAGGCGGAAUGCGUGGUGUAGCGGUGAAAUGCAUAGAUAUCACGCAGAACUCCGAUUGCGAAGGCAGCUUACUAAACUAUAACUGACACUGAAGCACGAAAGCGUGGGGAUCAAACACGAUUAGAUACCCUGGUAGUCCACGCAGUAAACGAUGAUUACUAGCUGUUUGCGAUACACAGUAA